UCCGUAGGUGGAUCAAUCAGUCAGAGGUGAAAUCCUGCAGCUUAACUGUAGAACUGCCUUUGAUACUGUUGAUCUUGAGUCAUUAUGAAGUGGUUAGAAUGUGUAGUGUAGCGGUGAAAUGCAUAGAUAUUACACAGAAUACCGAUUGCGAAGGCAGAUCACUAAUAAUGUACUGACACUGAGGGACGAAAGCGUGGGGAGCGAACCGGAUUAGAGACCCGAGUAGUCC
rnacentral:rRNA from 1 species